rnacentral:lncRNA from 1 species
CAAACAUUUCUGCUAGCCUCAGCAGUGGCCACAUGUGAUGCCUCCCAUUGGCUGAAACUGCCCCCAAAGGAAUGGCUGUUUGGGGAUCAUGCAAACAAGGAUGGGAGGAGUCCAGUCCUGCAACUCUUUAGUUCCUCACCCCACUAGAUCCUGCUCUCCUUAGAGAACUGGCAUACUGGAAGAGCAUUAUGAUCACAGCUCCCUGGGUCUAGGCUGUGUGACCUCAGCCAAGUUAUUUAACAUCUCUGAGCAUCGCUGUCUUCAACUGGGAUAACUACACAUACAUACCACUUGAGUGGCGAGGAAUAAAAAGAUAGAUGAUUCACCAUCAGGCCUGCGAGCUGAUUAUGACUCAAGGACUCAGGGAAGCUGUGAAGCAGAGGAAAUCUCCCUGUGAAGAAGCCUGGAUGGGCACAGUGUCUGGGCACAUGUAAUUCUCAUUCAUAUUUUCAACUGUGUGCCCCAGUGUUCCCAGCAUUUAGGACGCUUCCUGGCCAGUAACUCAAUCAAUGUUAGUUGGGUGAGUAAAUAAAUGAACCGAAAUUAACCUGUCAACAUUUUGGUGUAUAAAAUUCCAGACAUUUUCCAUGCAUACAGAUCCCUCAUAUGUACUUUUUUUAUUUAAAUGAGAUCCUAUCUGACAUAUGAUUUUAUAAUUUAUUUUAUCUCUUAAUAUGCUGUAACCAUCACUCCAGGGCAGGGAAUUCAA